UACAGAGGGGGCAAGCGUUGUUCGGAAUUACUGGGCGUAAAGGGCGCGUAGGCGGCCUGCUAAGUCGAACGUGAAAUCCCCGGGCUCAACCCGGGAACUGCGUCCGAUACUGGUAGGCUUGAAUUCGGGAGAGGGAUGCGGAAUUCCAGGUGUAGCGGUGAAAUGCGUAGAUAUCUGGAGGAACACCGGUGGCGAAGGCGGCAUCCUGGACCGAAAUUGACGCUGAGGCGCGAAAGCCAGGGGAGCAAACGGG
rnacentral:rRNA from 1 species